UACGUAGGGUGCAAGCGUUAAUCGGAAUUACUGGGCGUAAAGCGUGCGCAGGCGGUUUUGUAAGUCUGACGUGAAAUCCCCGGGCUCAACCUGGGAAUUGCGUUGGAGACUGCAAGGCUAGAAUCUGGCAGAGGGGGGUAGAAUUCCACGUGUAGCAGUGAAAUGCGUAGAUAUGUGGAGGAACACCGAUGGUGAAGGCAGCCCCCUGGGUCAAGAUUGACGCUCAUGCACGAAAGCGUGGGGAGCAAACAGG
rnacentral:rRNA from 1 species